rnacentral:rRNA from 1 species
UACGUAGGGUGCGAGCGUUGUCCGGAAUUAUUGGGCGUAAAGAGCUCGUAGGCGGUGUGUCACGUCGGCCGUGAAAACCUGCAGCUUAACUGUGGGCGUGCGGUCGAUACGGGCAUCACUGGAGUUCGGCAGGGGAGACUGGAAUUCCUGGUGUAGCGGUGAAAUGCGUAGAUAUCGAGAGGAACACCUGCGGCGAAGGCGGGUUGCUGGGCUGAUACUGACGCUGAUGCGCGAAAGCCAGGGGAGCGAACGGG